rnacentral:rRNA from 3 species
GAUUUCUGGCUUGAUACACUUGGCCGGCCACGGUUUCGUGUGCUUGUGCUUUGUGUUCUGGCCAUCCUUCCAAUUGCUAUCUACCUUUCUUCAUUGAUUGGUAGGUGGUAUUGGAUCUUUUACUUUGAAAAAAUUAGAGUGUUUCAAGCAGGCUUUAUGCUAUGAAUACAUUAGCAUGGAAUAAUAAUUUAGGACUUCGGUUCUAUUUUGUUGGUUUCUAGGACUGAAGUAAUGAUUGAUAGGGAUAGUUGGGGGUGCUAGUAUUCAGCGGCCAGAGGUGAAAUUCUCGGAUUCGCUGAAGACUAACUUAUGCGAAAGCAUU